rnacentral:lncRNA from 10 species
ACAUAUUUAUGGGGUACAAUGUAACAUUUUGAUACACCAAGGGAUGAUUAAAUCAAGCUAAUUAACAUAUCCAGCACCUCACCUACUUACCUUUUUUUUCCUAGUGAGAAUAUUUAAAAUCUACUCUUAGCAAUUUUGAAAUAUGUAGUAAGUUAUUAUUAACUAUGGUCACCAUGCUGCGCACUAACAUUUAUUCCUCCUGUCUAACUCAAACUUUGUACCCUUUGACCAACAUCUCCUCUUUCCCUGUCCCACCCCGUACCCCCAUCCUUGAGUAAUCAUCAUUCUAUUCUCUACUUCUGUAAGUUCCACUUUUUUAGAUUCCACAGGUAAGUGAAAUCAUGGAGUAUUUGUCUUUCUGUGCUUGGUUUAUUUCACUAAACAUAAUGUCCUCCAGGCUUAUCUAUGAUGUUGCAAAUGACAGAAUUUCUUUCUUUUUAAAGGGUGUCUAGUAUUGUGUAGCCAAUUCUUCAUAAUCCCAAGAUAUCAUUACUAUGUGAUAAUAAAGGCAAGCGUAUGAAGUAAAAGAAACUGUAGUAGGUCAAACUAAUAAGAAAAAUGCUGAUCUGAAUGUCUAUACAAUGCAUAGAUUGUGUUUUUAAAAAUGCAACAGUAUAUAAUUUCCGGACCUGCUAUAGUCUUGGGAACUAAGCAGUAUAAAACUUGGCUAGUGACUAGAUAAAAUGAUGAUGUAUAACAGACAUUAGUUACUUAUAUGCUUAAUUAAUCUGAACAUUUACCCUACACUCUUAUUGGCGUUAUUAAUUUGUUCAAUUUGUUAAAAGAGUUUCCUAAGAAAAUGUGGCUUUAUUUCAGUACCUAUUUUGAAUCCCAAAUAUUUUUUAUAUUCUGGCUUGAUAACUGAGUGACUAAGAGGUUUCAGGGCCUUGCUACUUGGGUUUGUAUACAGGCCUACCAUUUUCUGGCUAUGUUUUCUUAGAUUACUUCACCUCUCUGUAACUUAGUUUCCUCAAUGAUAAAAUAAAAAUAAUAAUCAUGGUCACCUCAUAGGGUAGUUAGGAGGAUUGAAUGUGUUAGUUCUUAUAAAGUGAUUAAAGAACCAAAUGCAUAGUAUGUUAGUUCUUGUUUAUUUUUCUUGAAGUUAACUGUAGGAAUUUUACCACUUACAAUUUACAGUGGCAUUGCUCUAUGGGAAUAAUACUACGUGGGAGGAUUCUACCGUGGUUUUUGAUAUAGUUUGGAUGCUGUCCUCCUCCAAAUCUCAUGUGGAAAUGUAAUCUCCAGUGUUGAAGGUGGGGCCUCGUGGGAGGUGAUUGGAUCAUGGGGAGUCUUUCCCCCUUGGUACUGUCCUCACCACAGUGAGUGAGGUCCUGUGAGAUCUCAUUGUUUAAAAGUGUGUGGCACUCCCCCAACUCCUGCUCCUGCUUCCGCCAUGUGAAAUGCCUCACUUCCCCUUUGCCUUCCACCAUGAUUGGAAGAUUCCUGAGGCCUCCCCAGAAGCAAAAGCUGCUAUGCUUCAUGUACAACCUGCAGAGCCAUGAGCCAAUUAAACCUCUUUUCUUUAUAAAUUACCCAGUCUUAGGUAUUUUUUUAUAGCAGUGAAUGGAUUAACACAUUUUAUUUCAAAUUUAUAUCCUGUAUAGCCUUGCAUUAUGAAAAGAGCACAGAACAGGAAGUUAGGACAUCUUGCUUUGAGGUCUAGAACAGCCAUCAACUAUAUGAUCUUGGGUGAGUCACUUCACCUCUCUGAACCUGUUUCCUCAAGAAAAAUAAGCAGAGUAGGCUGCCUGCGUGAUCUCAAGACAACACACUGUGCUAGAAUGAGUCUUACAGCAAGAGUUCAAAGUUCAAAUUCUAAUUCUAGAACUCGUUGAGUGUAAAAUUCACAGCAAGUCAUAGAACCUCUUGGAACCCCAGUUUCCACAUCUGGAAGAAGGGGCAGAAUAGUAUCAAAAAUGCUUCACUCCCAGGAAUGUGAUGGUGAAUCUGACAGAGGAAGAAUUAAAUGACUUGUUCAAGGUCACCUUUGAGGAAUUUGCAGGAAGUUUAACUUAUGUAUAUUUUUCCCCUGUAGUACCCCAGGGGCCUAAUGACAGGAAAACAAAUGAAGUGGAUCCCCAUCUUCCACCCUUGCCUCCGCUAAGCCAUCAGAGGACAAGUUUCCCACCCCACUCUCUCCAAUUUCACUUGAAAAAUAAAACAGGCCUCCAGCUGUGAAAUGGAUUAUGCUCUACAACUAUGUACCUGGAAUAGAAGCCAUCAUUCUUCAUGAAGUUUGCUGAGAAUUAUGUAUCGCAGCCUGGCAGCUUCCUGUUCCCUCGUUAGCCUGCAUAUCCCACUUAACGAAAGAUUCGCCAUGCACUGACUUGUAUGUGACUCACAGUGUGCACAGUAUGCACUGACUGUGACCUGUCCCCAAAUGAACACAGUACCAGUCUAACGUACCACCUUACCUAUGGCUCUCUCCCAUACACACCCAAUCCACUGCAGGCAAAUGAUCUACCCACAAUCUCCCAAACACAGUCUUCACUGUCUGGUCACUGCUCCUUUACACGUGGCAUUCACUCUGCUUGCAGAGGCAUUUUAGAGUGGAUAUCUAAAGAAGGAGAUUUCUCCCAAGCAUGCACAUAGGAGGGCACUGGUCUGAUGCUCUGAUUGACAGUUCACUACUGCAAAGAGGACAGAUGAGAAAGCAGCUCAGCUCUUUGAUGCUAAGGAAAAAACACAGAACCUCACUUAUCUAUAUGUAAUCACAAACUUUAGUAUCCAUCAGUACCAAGCCAAAAUAGUUCCUGUUUGGACAUACAUUAUUAGAAAUUAACAACAAAAUUUAGUAAAUGGUUGGCCAGUUCUGAACGCAGAAUAGCCACCUCUGAGUGAGCAUUUUGAUCAAUCUAACUCACACAUUUCUGGUUCAACAAAGUUAUUAGAUGAGAAGACCCAAAACGGUGUGUAAAUGGGACACAGAUUUAUAAACAGUUAAUUUAUAAUCAUAUAUGGCAAAUUAACCUGUAUGUCACUAAUGUGCCACCAAUCAUAAGACAUGCCAUCAUUUAAUCUGUCAUGAAGAAGUGAAAAACUCAAUUAAACGGUGACAUCAUGCUUCCUGAUUAGAAAUGUUCAUUUUUUUGUUAUGCUAAAUUUACAUAAAUACAUAUUUAUUUAAACAACACGGGGCCACAAUAUGAACAUCUAUGCCCAAGUUUCUGCAUGCCCAGCAAUGACUGCCACCCUGACAAUGGUGACUGAUAUCAUCAAGUGUAACAUGCAUCCUGAUUCAAGUUGUUCAACUGUGACACAACGGGUACCUUAGCACUGAUGAAAUAUGGUACCCGCCUGCGUCACAUGAGCUUCUCAUGAUCCAGCAGCCUCUCCUCACCUGACACUGGCUCUAGUCCCCAGUAAUGACUCUGAUCCUGUUUGUCCUAGGAGUCUUCUCUUCCUUUGUUUCCCACUUCCCUCACUGGGCUACUCAGUAACCAGUUAGCUGUUAAGGCGCAAGCCUUUUUUUAUUUUAAUUUUUAUUUUUUCCAAAACUCCUCAACAAUUGCAAUUGCCACUUUGUUUCUACUAUUAUUGCCCUUGACUUAUUUCUUUAUUUAUUUAAGUUUCUUUUGUUUUUAAACAAGAAGGCUGGGUACAGUGGCUCGUGCAGAUAAUCCCAGCAAUUUGGGAGGCCGAGGCAGGUGGCUCACUGGAGGUCCUGAGUUCAAGACCAGCCUGGCCAACAUGGCAAAACCCUGUCUCUACUAAAAAUACAAAAAUUACCUAGAGGUGGUGGCACACGCCUGUAAUCCCAGCUACUCACAUGGCUGAGGCAGGAGAAUUGCUUGAACCUGGGCAGCAGAGGUUGCAGUGAACCAAGAUCGUGCCACUGUACUCCAGCCUGGGCAACAGAGCGAGACCCUGUCCAAAAAAAAAAAAAAAAUCUCAAGGCUGGGCAUGGUGGCUCACGCCUAUAAUCCCAGUACUUUGGGAGUCACAGUACUCAGGAUCAUCUGAGGUCAGGAGUUGAAUACCAGCCUGGCCAACGUGAUGAAACCUCGUCUCUACUAAAAAUACAAAAAUCAGCCGUGCAUGGUGGCAUAUGCCUGUAAUCCCAGCUACUUGGGAGGCUGACACAGGAGAAUUGCUUCAACCUGGGAGACGGAAGUUGCAGUGAGCCGAGAUUACGCCACUGCACUCCAGCCUGAGCAACAAAGUGAGACUCCAUCUGAAAAAAAAAAAAAAAAAAAAAACCAAGAGAAUCUUCCAUCAUCAAUUGAAAAACAGUAACUGCCCUUAUUCUCACCCAGGAGGAGAGAAUGAAAAAAUGUUAUCAUUUUAAUAUCUUUAUAAUUUUAGUACCAUGUACAUAACAUGAAGUUUACCAUUUAAUCAUUUUUAUUACAACAAAAUAUUUUUUAAUUUUUCUGCUAUUGUUGUCAUAUACUUUACUUCCGUGCAUGUUAUAAACACCAUGAUACAUUGCUAUAAUUUUUCCCCAAGAGGCUUUCAGAGGUCUGCAAUGAGUUAGGGUUGAAAAAACAGUGAUCCAAUGUGCUAGUUCAAAGACUGCCUCUCCUUGGCUUCCAGGAAGCCUUCUAAACCUACCUUUUCUAUUAGCCUACCUUUUUUUUUUCUUUCCAAUCUUUUAAAAUUCUAUUACAGAUGUACAGCAAGAUCAAAGGGAACACCUUGUCCCUGGGGCUUUAGCUACUGGCUGGAAGAGAAGCAUAGAAAUGUCUUUAACUCUUUCCAGUGGAUAUCACUAAGGUUAUCCAAUCAUCCCAUGACCACUCGGCCAGAGGGGGUGAGAUCACCCCACCACAUCCUUUACAUGCACACACACACACAAACACACACACACACACAAACACACACACACCUUUCAGGCUUACUGUUGCCUUUUUAUUUACUUUGCUUCACCUUGGAAGAGACUGUUAAUGCUCAUGCUAACCUGAUUUCACCUGUAUAAAAAUGUCCAGGGACAUGUGGGCAUUCUGUGAUUUGUCCUGGUUCUAAAUAUCCCUGAGGGUGGUCCUGACCCACAUAAAAACAAGUCUGCUUCAGAGCCAGCUUCAAAGCCUACCUCUCUGAUCCCCAAACCUCAGGUGAUCGCACUGUCCUCUGGCCAGUGAUGGUUCUUAGAGUCUGUACUUCCUAUUUGAUAUUUAUACGCAAUGGCGUGCUGGUAAAUGUUUAGCACCUGGCUCUGGGGGUGGAGAGGUAGGAGUCUGGGUUCGGCGGGUUUAUAGAUUCAAUUUCUGUGGUGUAAACACUCCCACCAUGGCUAUUUCAAGCCACCAGUAUGAUGUCACUGACCACAGUCAGGAAGAGACGCAGAGUGGCAUAUUGUUAUGUAGUAUUUCUACCACACAGAUAUAAUACACAUAAAUAACUUCAAGAUCAGAGAUAAUACUGAAAGGUAAUAAAACAAUUAGUAAUGAGUUUUGACUAUUUAUUAUCUUUGUUAUUAGUAUACUUUAUUUAAUUAUAACUUUAUAUAAUUUAAUUUCUAAUAAUGGCUGUGUUUAAUAACCAGCUCACAAAACUGGAAAACUUAGCAAUUGGCUUUUGCAAGCCAGUAGGAGCAGCUCCAGCCCACAAAAGUAAUAAAGUAUAUGCUAUCUUGUAUUAUUAUUUUAAAUCUUUUAUGUCCCCAACUAAAUUAUAUACUUCAGAUUAUGAAGUUAUUUGUCUUAAAUACUUCUUUUUAUUUACCAUGCUGCUAAACACAAAUAGGUAAUUAACUUCUUUUUUUUUUUUUUUUUUUGAGAUGGAGUCUCACUCUGUCGCCCAGGCUGGAGUGCAGUGGCACCAUCUCGGCUCACUGCAACUUCCGCCUCCCAGGUUCAAGAGAUCCUCCUGCCUCAGCCCCACUAGUAGCUGGGAUUACAGGUACGUGCCACCAUGCCUGGCUAAUUUUUGUAGUUUUAAUAGAGAUGGGGUUUCACCAUGUUGGCCAAGCUGGUCUUGAACUCCUGACCUCAGGUGAUCCACCUGCCUCGGCCUCCCAAAGUGUUGGGAUUACAGGCGUGAGCCACUGAGCCCAGCUGGUAAUUAACUUCUAACAUUAAUAACGUUUACUCAUUGUAAAUGUUUUUGAGAGGCCACUAAAAUUCACCAAUAACAAAAUUUAGACUGGGCCCCAAAUCUGACCCUUCCUGAAUCAUAUCUUUAACCUAGAAAGUUUAUGCACUAAAAAAAUUUAUCAAAAAAGAUAUAUUGGCUGAGUGAGGUGGCUCACCCCUCUAAUCCCAGCACUUUGGGAGGCCGAGGCUAGUGGAUUGCUUGAGCCUAGGAGUUUGUGACCAGCCUAGGCAACAUGGCAAAACCCUGUCUCUACUAAAAAUAAAUGAAAAAAAAAAAAAAAGAUGUAUUACUGACAGUGUAAUUGAAUCAUUUCUGCUACCAGCUAUAAGAUUGCCUACCAUUAAGAGCAGCGGUGACCAGCUUUGUUAUCAAUGCUGUUAGGAACAUUGAUUAACUUUCAACCCCAACAAGCAAGCAAGCCAACUCCUAUGACUGCUGAAGUGAGCGCUCUAAAAGAGAGAGUAUUCUUGGAGGAGGGAGCCCCGUGGUGGGUAAACAAACUGAGAAACUUAGCUAACCAAACUUGCAAGAAUGAUCAGUCUCUUUAUAAUUUACGGUUACCAAGAAUUGGCAUGUAACCCAAAAUGUCAACUUAUUAUCAAGGAGAUACUAUCAUUAUCCUACUGAUGGAAUAUCUUCCCAGUAACAAUGAUAUUGGUAUUCAUUAACCAGGAUUCUUCCUUCCCAGAAACAAGGAAUCAGAUUAGCAAUGAGAAGGAUAUUUGUUGUGUAUCAACAUGGAGAAUUUAAAGGUCUUGAAGCAUAUAUCCUCUAGAUAUGAAAAAUCCAAACGAACUAUCUCUCUUCCACAGUGGAGUGUAUCUAUUUGGUGCAAAAGUAAUUGCAGUUUUUGCCAUUAAAAGCAAUGGCAAAAACAGCAAUUACUUUUGCACCAGCCUAGUAUCUAAUCCCCAGACUAUUAAUAUCUACCAAAGUGUGUCUGUCAUCUAUGAAAAUUACUGGUAAAGUCUGUGAAAAUUUUCACUGAAGGUCAGCAAAGGCACUAUUAUCUCAUGCUGGAGAAGUUACAAGUGAAUACUAGUACUAGUAACUAG